GUCUCUGAUGUAGUGGUUUGAACAUUGGACUAUGACUCUGGAGACCAGGGUUCGAAUCCCUGUUCGGCCA
rnacentral:tRNA from 1 species